rnacentral:rRNA from 1 species
CUACGGGGCGCUGCAGUGAGGAAUAUUGCACAAUGGGGGGAACCCUGAUGCAGCAACGCCGCGUGGAGGAUGACGCAUUUCGGUGUGUAAACUCCUUUUAUAUGUCAAGAAAAUGACGGUAGCAUAUGAAUAAGCACCGGCUAACUCCGUGCCAGCAGCCGCGGUAAUACGGAGGGUGCAAGCGUUAUUCGGAAUCACUGGGCGUAAAGGGUGCGUAGGCGGUUUGGAAAGUCAGGUGUGAAAGCCCGGGGCUCAACUCCGGAACUGCACUUGAAACUUCCAGACUAGAAUACUGAAGGGGCAGAUGGAAUUAGUGGUGUAGGGGUAAAAUCCGUAGAUAUCACUAGGAAUACCGAAAGCGAAAGCGAUCUGCUGGGAAGUUAUUGACGCUGAGGCACGAAAGCGUGGGGAGCAAACAGGAUUAGAUACCCGAGUAGUC